rnacentral:lncRNA from 10 species
AGCGCGCUCGAGGUCGCCCCGCCACAGCCCGUCCUCUACCCGCCUCUGCUGGAAAACAGGCCGCAGAAUAUAGGUGUUCUCGGGCUCCCCUGCGUUCUUCUCAGCCUCAGGCACCCCGUCGCCCACCGAGAAGGACACUCCGAUGGACGUGGCCAUGCCGGGGCUUCUCGGUCCGGGCGUAGCUCGCGAUGAAGGCCUAGCGGGUUGCGGUCGCGGCCGGCAGCAGGGAAAGCGUCUCCAGGGCAACAGGGCCGCCCUCCCGCCUCGCUGAAGCCCGCGAGCGCCCCGCACAGCCGCCCUCCCUGCCCGCGCCUGCGCACCGGCUGCUGGGCGGGAACUGGUCGCGUCCGGACGCGCGACAGCUUCCACCCGCCUCAGGCAGUAUCAGCCGCGCCGCAGUCGGAGGAAAUAGACGCGGGGCCUGAGGCUCCUGGACUUGAGCAAGCCUGUUACCCUCUGUGAGCCUCAACUUCUCUAUGUGUAACAAAUGGCCAACUUUAUGGGAUUGUCAAGAAGCUGAAAUGAGACCCUGGCUGGAGGAUAUUUUAUGGACUAUAAAUUCCUAAACAAUUAUAAUAACUUAGUUAUUUAUCCUAUCCAUGGAUCACCUGGAAGUUUACAAUGUGAUUUAAAAUGCAUUCUAUCAUUCCACCGACCUGCAGUGAAUUUUGUUGUCAUUAUUACUCCAGGGAUACCUAAAGGGGAAGUUUGUUUAUAAUUCGUACCCACUCCUUGUAGAAAGGAUUCAAGACAGCCGAUGAUGAAAACACCCAUGCUUGCAAGUGAAGGUUCUGCCUGUCACUUCUCGCAGAGGCUGCAGAAAAGGCCCAGGAGGCUGUUGAUGACAUGAACGACCACCAGGAGAAGCUGGAGCAGGCUGAUGCACAGAAGGGCGGAGAAGAGGGACACGUGCCAGACAACAGCUGCAGAGGGCUCCAGGCAGACGGAGUUCCAGAGCGAACGGUCAUACAGAUAAUUCCUAUCCCAAAAAAUAAGGAGACCAGGGGUCAGGCGAUAAGUAAGGAAAGCCAAACAGGCAACCCCAGUAGAAAACUGGGGUCUCCCCUGACCGGGUCAUGGGACUGGGCUCAUGAGGGUGACCGUUACUGCUCCAUUUGCAAUUUUCUGAGUAUCAGAGGAGCAAGAUGCUAGGAUGUGUGACCCAAAGGAGCUUGUAGUUCGUCUGUGUGUCUUUUUGUCUCUCUCUCUCUCUCUGUCUGAAAAGACCAAGCCCAAGCCUCCACCCAUUUACCUACUAUGCAGGUCUUUGAAUGGGUAACCAUAUUUCCAAGCUUGUGUCUGAUUGAAGGAUGAAACAUCAAACAUGCAAAAAGGACCAUCUUUCAGAGCAACUCCAGAAGUGACAAAGCAAAUCAGGGCUCCAAGUAAAGCCAGGCCACCUGACAACAGAGCACCAUUCAGCCUCUGAGCUAAAGAAGAAGCUACCACAGGCCCACCACUGACUCUUCUAAGGAAAAGCUGCAUUUUCAAAAGUUCCAGAGUCAUGGAGUCAUUCUCCCACUGAGGUCAAGCUGGUUUGGAGUUGGGGAGGGAUCAGACAAAGGUGCAUAGUAAGUUUUGACUCUGAGUUAAAGGAGUCAAGAUGAAUCAGUAAGCCUAGGGCAGUGGUUCCCAAAAUGGGGUCCCUGCCCAGCCGCAUCACAUCACCUGAGAACCUGUUAGAAAUGCAAAACUUCCCCGCCAUCCUGAAUCAGAAACUCUGGGGAGGGAGCCCAGCAAUCCGUGUUCCGGCAAAAGCCCUCCAGGUGAUUCUCAUGCACAUUCAAGUGUCAGAACUACGUGCCACGGGGAAAACCAGAAUGAGAACAGACAGUGAAUGAAAUGUGCAAGUGUUUAUUUAUUUAUCUAUGUACUUAUUUAUUUAUUUAUUUUGAAACGGAGUCUCGCUCUGUCGCCCAGGCUGGAGUGCAGUGGCGCCAUCUCGGCUCACUGCAAGCUCCGCCUCCCGGGUUCAAGAGAUUUUCCUGCCUCAGCCUCCUGAGUUGCUGGGAUUACAGGCGCCCACCACCACGCCCAGCUAAUUUUUGUAUUUUUGGUAGAGACGGGGUUUCACCAUGUUGGCCAGGCUGGUCUCAAACUCCUGACCUCAGGUGAUCCGCCCAUCUUGGCCUCCCAAAGUGCUGGGAUUACAGGCGUGAGCCACCGCGCCUGGCCUAUAUUUGAUUUUUUAACAUGUAACUGAGUCAGUGGGCUUCCCAACAUGUGGGCUGCAGAUAUCAGAGCAGGCUGUGGAGUUACCAUAAGGCCACAGAUUCAUGUCUGAGAACGAGUGUGUGUGUGUGUGUG